GUAAACGGCGGCCGUAACUAUAACGGUCCUAAGGUAGCGAAAUUCCUUGUCGGGUAAGUUCCGACCUGCACGAAUGGCGUAAUGAUGGCCAGGCUGUCUCCACCCGAGACUCAGUGAAAUUGAACUCGCUGUGAAGAUGCAGUGUACCCGCGGCAAGACGGAAAGACCCCGUGAACCUUUACUAUAGCUUGACACUGAACAUUGAGCCUUGAUGUGUAGGAUAGGUGGGAGGCUUUGAAGUGUGGACGCCAGUCUGCAUGGAGCCGACCUUGAAAUACCACCCUUUAAUGUUUGAUGUUCUAACGUGGGCCCCUUACCGGGGUUGCGGACAGUGUCUGGUGGGUAGUUUGACUGGGGCGGUCUCCUCCUAAAGAGUAACGGAGGAGCACGAAGGUUGGCUAAUCCUGGUCGGACAUCAGGAGGUUAGUGCAAUGGCAUAAGCCAGCUUGACUGCGAGCGUGACGGCGCGAGCAGGUGCGAAAGCAGGUCAUAGUGAUCCGGUGGUUCUGAAUGGAAGGGCCAUCGCUCAACGGAUAAAAGGUACUCCGGGGAUAACAGGCUGAUACCGCCCAAGAGUUCAUAUCGACGGCGGUGUUUGGCACCUCGAUGUCGGCUCAUCUCAUCCUGGGGCUGUAGCCGGUCCCAAGGGUAUGGCUGUUCGCCAUUUAAAGAGGUACGUGAGCUGGGUUUAAAACGUCGUGAGACAGUUUUGUCCCUAUCUGCCGUGGGCGCUGGAAGAUUGACGGGGGCUGCUCCUAGUACGAGAGGACCGGAGUGGACUCACCUCUGGUGUACCGGUUGUCACGCCAGUGGCAUCGCCGGGUAGCUAUGUGGGGAAGAGAUAACCGCUGAAAGCAUCUAAGCGGGAAACUUGCCUGAAGAUAAGUCUUCCUGGAGGCUAGACCUCCCUAAAGAGUCGUUCGAGACCAGGACGUUGAUAGGAUGGGUGUGUAAGUGCUGUGAGGCACUCAGCUAACCAUUACUAAUUGCUCGUGAAGCUUGAUCCU
rnacentral:rRNA from 1 species